rnacentral:rRNA from 1 species
CACGUAGGGCGCGAGCGUUGUCCGGAAUCACUGGGCGUAAAGGGCGCGUAGGCGGCUCAUGAAGGCUGUGGUGAAAGUCCGGGGCUCAACCUCGGAUCGGCCGUGGCGACUCGUGGGCUGGAGCACUGUAGAGGCGGGUGGAAUUCCGGGUGUAGCGGUGGAAUGCGUAGAGAUCCGGAAGAACACCAGUGGCGAAGGCGGCCCGCUGGGCAGUGGCUGACGCUGAGGCGCGACAGCGUGGGGAGCAAACAGG